UUUAGGGAGCCACACGGCCUUGUGACACCAAUUUUGCCACUAUAUGGCGUCACCAUAUCACCAUCCAUGGUGAUGACGUCAAGACCAACACUUUUUGGUCGCGCCAUGUCCUUUUGUAGGACAUCAAUCCUUGCAGACAUAUUUGCAGCAUGUGAUCUCGUCGCUUUAACACUAUAAGCAUUUGGGAUCAAGAUGAGACUUAAUGGGGACAGACCACGACAAUUCACGUCGUUCCACUUGAACACUUGUGUUCUUAUCUCCCCCUAACGGCGGGAAUAUUGUCUCAUCAAAGUGACAAUCCGCAAUUUAGCGGUGAAUGAGAUCGCCUGACAAGGUUCCUACAUAUACGGAUUAUAGGUGGAGGUUCAUAUCCAACCUAAACUUAUUCAUCUCAAAUGACCUAUCAUUGUACACAGUGGCAAUGCGAUUUGGCACCUAGAAAUAACAUCUAGCCGAGCUCAAGGAUUGGAGAUCCGUUUCAAUCCUGCCGAGCUCAAGGAUUACAAUUUCGUGUCAAUCCUGGUACACAGUCACGAGCUGUAGUACAACAAAAUUCAAUGAUGGUGGGUCGUAGAUGAAUAGUAAAGCUGCAUACAAAUAUUGCAUAGCCCCAAGACGCAAUAGAAAGAGUGGUGCGCAUCAAUAAUGUUCGAGCGACAAACUAAAGUUGCUUGGUCGUAGCCUCGAUGAGACCGUAUUGCGUGUGAACAUGGGGUACAAGACACUUCAACUUACAUCCCGAUGAACUUCUUUAAAGAAUGGGUAGUGAGCCCGUAGAAGUAUAAGCAGCGUAAGCAGUAGAUAAUAGUGUAACACGUGACCAGUGUGCUAACACUUCAACCAACACCAUAAAGCAUAAAAGGUGUCAGCAAGUUGGUUGUAUCUAUCUACAUAAUUUUAUGUAAGAAUAGAAUGUUCACUUUUGUGUUAUUUAGCAUAGGAGGGUCUCACUCCUAAUUUAGCUAAAGAAUAGGCUUUCAAAACGAGCAAUGAGCAUUGCAGGGGGCCAAUGCGACAUCGAGGAAAGGCCGGUGCACCUCAAUUGCUUGAGGAAUUGACCGGACGACCUCUAGGAAGUUGGAAUCGUGUUCGGGUGACGUCAAUGUCCCCCGGGUCACCACCAUGCUUCAUGGUGAUACUAGAUCUCGAAUGUCUUCGUUUUGAGCGGAAGAAUGGAUGUCCAUGAGAAUUUCUCAAAAUUUGGACCAUUAUAUCUCUUCCAGGUUGACCAAUUUGGUCAAACCAAAGCCUAUAUGAGUCGGUGUCCCAAAUAUCAUGUUUGGCGACAACAUGGGAUUCGAUAUUCGAAUCGUAGUGACAUACAGUUCACUAGAUUGACUCAUGAAUUUCUCCAAGAAGCGCUUCAGUUCGCAUUCAUGAGGAGGUAUACACAAAAGAAUUCUUGUUCAUUCUCACAAUGUGUUUUCAAAUGAAAACCAUUAGCAUGAAUGUCUUUAAAGCUCAAUAACAUGGUUCCUUAGAAUGUUGUGGAUAGUUCCACUAUCUGCGAAGCACUCAAUGUCUCUAUGAGACAUAACUACAAGGAGCAGAUAGGCGAGUAAAUAGUUCUACUUGAACCAUUUAGAAGGAUUGAAAGAAGCUACGAAAAGCUGCAAUCCCGAGAGUGCAUAAAAAUUUCCGCGCAGAAUGAUCUUUGAGCACUAAAACAGCCAUAACUUCUUCCUUAAAAUAGAUAUGGACGAACCGUGAAAAGUUCUGAAAACUAGACUCAUAGAGCUUUCCAAUGAUAUAAAGCUCACUGUCUGGUUAGUCCGGAGCUGUUCACAAAGCUCAAACGAAGUUGACUGUCCAGAAGGGACAGAUUGCUGUUUUUCGCAGAUUUGGCAUGUGCGAAGCUGUGAAGCUUGCAGGUGGCGUGUAGGCUUUUGCCUUAGCCAAAAGUGACGUGUGUAUGAUCAAAACCAAGUCCUUUCGAUCGUUCUAAGGUCGUAAACUCCAUGACUAGUUAGCAAAAGCUCCCUGACAUGAACAUAAACUAA
rnacentral:lncRNA from 1 species